UACGGGGGGGAGCAAGCGUUUGUUCGGAUUUACUGGGCGUAAAGGGCGCGUAGGCGGUCGUGACAAGUCACUUGUGAAAUCUCCGGGCUUAACUCGGAACGGUCAAGUGAUACUGUCGGACUAGAGUACAGAAGGGGCAACUGGAAUUCUCGGUGUAGCGGUGAAAUGCGUAGAUAUUGGGAGGAACACCAGUGGCGAAGGCGGCUCACUGGACCGGAACUGACGCUGAGGCGCGAAAGCGUGGGGAGCAAACAGG
rnacentral:rRNA from 1 species